rnacentral:lncRNA from 1 species
GCCAGCCCUAUACUCCCUCCAGUGCCUGGUCUCCGGUGGACCCGCGGGGCUCUGCAGUUCUCUGGCGGCCGCGCCUUGUAAGCGCUAAGCCGGGAGGAGGGCGCAGGCAGGGCGCACAGCUCUGAGCGCGACCCUACCCGGCUCGGGCCCGCAGCAACCCCGACUGUCCGAGAGCCUCUCCCCAAGCAAGGCUCUGCGCCGCCCUCUGAGCCCACCUCCUGGCCACAACGCUGCCUGCGCUUCUCCAGCCCAGGCCGGAAGCCCUAUGCUGCCUCCCGAAGCCGGACUUUCUGGAAGCCCAUCUUCGUAUGCUCACCAGCCCACCCUCCUACGCUGGUCAGAGUGAGAUUGCUAACCUCAAGACCCCAUUCAAUGCCAGCUUUCAACUACUGCUGAAGACCAAUGUAGGUCCUGGAAUAGAAGAACUGCAGAGUAUCCGGAGCUGGCCGACCCCAGACUGAUUCUCAACAGGUGGCUGGCGUCAAUGCUCUAGAGAUGGGACCUCGCCUUCCAAGGUGUCUUCACUAUCACAGGGCCCGGGCUCUCUGCCUCAGCCCAACCCUGGGCUUGCGCUCAGAGAGGAGGUAUUCCGACGGAAAA